rnacentral:rRNA from 1 species
GACGAACGCUGGCGGCGUGCUUAACACAUGCAAGUCGAACGCUGAAGCUCAGCUUUUGUUGGGUGGAUGAGCGGCGAACGGGUGAGUAACACGUGAGUAACCUGCCCCCUUCUUUGGGAUAACGCCCGGAAACGGGUGCUAAUACUGGAUAUUCACUGGUCUUCGCAUGGGGGUUGGUGGAAAGGGUUUUUCUGGUGGGGGAUGGGCUCGCGGCCUAUCAGCUUGUUGGUGGGGUGAUGGCCUACCAAGGCUUUGACGGGUAGCCGGCCUGAGAGGGUGACCGGUCACAUUGGGACUGAGAUACGGCCCAGACUCCUACGGGAGGCAGCAGUGGGGAAUAUUGCACAAUGGGCGCAAGCCUGAUGCAGCGACGCCGCGUGAGGGAUGGAGGCCUUCGGGUUGUGAACCUCUUUCGCUCAUGGUCAAGCCGCAACAAUGGUUGUGGUGAGGGUAGUGGGUAAAGAAGCGCCGGCUAACUACGUG